rnacentral:rRNA from 1 species
GACGAACGCUGGCGGCGUGCCUAAUACAUGCAAGUAGAACGCACAGGAUGCACCGUAGUUUACUACACCGUAUUCUGUGAGUUGCGAACGGGUGAGUAACGCGUAGGUAACCUGCCUGGUAGCGGGGGAUAACUAUUGGAAACGAUAGCUAAUACCGCAUAAGAACAUUUACUGCAUGGUAGAUGUUUAAAAGGUGCAAGAGCAUCACUACCAGAUGGACCUGCGUUGUAUUAGCUAGUUGGUGAGGUAACGGCUCACCAAGGCAACGAUACAUAGCCGACCUGAGAGGGUGAUCGGCCACACUGGGACUGAGACACGGCCCAGACUCCUACGGGAGGCAGCAGUAGGGAAUCUUCGGCAAAUGGGGGGAAACCCCUGACCGAGCAAACGCCGCGUGAGUGAAGAAGGUUUUUCGGAUUCGUAAAAGCUUCUG